rnacentral:rRNA from 1 species
CACGGACCGCACGAACGUUAUUCGGUAUCACUGGGCUUAAAGGGUGCGUAGGCGGCUUGGCAAGUUGGGUGUGAAAGCCCUCGGCUCAACCGAGGAAUUGCGCUCAAUACUGCCGAGCUCGAGAGAGACAGAGGUAAGCGGAACUAAUGGUGGAGCGGUGAAAUGCGUAGAUAUCUGGAGGAACACCGGUGGCGAAGGCGGCAUCCUGGACCGGUAUUGACGCUGAGGCGCGAAAGCUAGGGGAGCAAACGGG